rnacentral:rRNA from 1 species
AGCAGCCGCGGUAAUUCCAGCUCCAAUAGCGUAUAUUAAAGUUGUUGCAGUUAAAAAGCUCGUAGUUGAACUUCGGGGUUUACCCAUUGGUCAGGCUUAAUUGUCUGUACUGGUGAGAUAAAUCUCUACCUCCUGAGGAACUUUCAUGUCAUUAAUUUGGUGUGAUUGGAAAUCAGGACUAUUACUUUGAAAAAUUAGAGUGUUUAAAGCAGGCUAAAGUCUGAAUACAUUAGCAUGGAAUAAUGAAAUAGGACGGAUUUGAUUCUAUUUCGUUGGUUUCUAGGAUCACCGUAAUGAUUAAUAGGGAUAGUUGGGGGCAUUAGUAUUCAAUCGUCAGAGGUGAAAUUCUUGGAUUUAUUGAAGACUAACUACUGCGAAAGCAUUUGCCAAGGAUGUUUUCAUUAAUCAAGAACGAAAGUUAGGGGAUCGAAGACGAUCAGAUACCGUCGU